AUGGAAGAGGUGGACCAUGUUGGAGCCCUGGCGGGAGUUAGGGCUCCUGCUCCAUCCAGGUCCCACCUUUCAUUUUCUAAUUGCUGUCCUGUCCUCAGGCUUCCGGCUCCAGAGAGCUGCGGGGUGCUGUCAUCCCGGCUCUCAGUCCCCAGUCAUGCGGGUCUGAGCUGGACAGGGGUAUGGCAGUUCCUGAAACCCAGGACACCCUCCUGCUUCCCCAGGCCCACGAGAGCAGGGAGAGAGGACACAACCCAACAUCCCAUCCUACAGACUCUGUCUCUCGAAGCCCUGAGAAUGUCUUUGCAGGCUUUCUGGGAAGGGGUGGUCAGUACAUCCCAAGACCCUGGUCUGGAUUUGGCUCCCACUUCUUUUCCUCCCCAUUUCAGCUGGAUGGGGCCACAGUGGCUGGUAAGGCCAGAGGUCUGGACCUGGGGACAGAAGGGCAUGCUAGGGUGGCCGGGGAGCAUGGACUGGGGCCAAAAGGGCCCUGCCUCACCAGCCCCCUGCCUCUCUCUGCCUUUGCCCAUUCAAUUCCUGAUGGCUGUUGCUCACACCCUAGGAUCCAGGAGCUCCGAGGCCCCAGGAGUGUCAGGGGGAAUGACCGCACAAAGAAAGAAACCAUUUCAUAUGAGGAACAAAUAUGCAAAGAGAUGGGGUGAGGAGCAGGAAGGGGGUGGCAGAAUGAGAUUAGGGCGACCAGCUAGUCCCAGUUUGCCCAGGAGUAUCCAAGUUUUAAAUCUAAAAGCCCGGUGUCUCCAGAAUCUCCCCAUUCAGGGCAAUCCGGGAUGGUUGACACUUGAAGUCAGGUGGGUGCUAACGGCAGGUGCGAGUCUGAAAGAGCAGCUGCCUGGAGUGGAGCCUGUGCAGUUCUUUCCUUGGAGGCCCAGGAAGCCACACUGGGCUCCCUGCUCUUUCCAGACGCUCCAGAGUGCCAAGCCUCUCCCUCACGUCCGCUCCAAGGUGCUACAGGAAGCCCCAGGCUGCCAGCAAGAAGCAGGGGCCCUUGUCCCGUCCUCUCCUGCACCUACCGUCCCGUCCGACUGUGUCCGUCUGGUGUGUCCGGCAGGGUUGCCUUACCUGUCUGGGGGAGGCAGCUGCCACCUGGGAGGUCUCAGGGAGUUGUGGCAAGCUGGCUGCAGGAGAGCGACCUUUGUCCCCACCACCCCCCCCCUUAGGAACUGCCUUCACCAUAUAAGGGAAGAUAGGGCCCCAGAGAGAGUGAGAAUGGGUGAGGGGGUGGGGACGCAGGUGCCCGCCAGGGACGCUGGUCCCUGGGAGCCAGCGGAGCCAGCGACAGCCUGA
rnacentral:lncRNA from 1 species